GUGUUUAAAGUGUUUCCAGUGCCAACCAGGUGAUAAGCGGGAUAACGGCCUUUGAGGUGUCCAGUUAUUUGCAAUUAAUGGACUUGGGCGGAGGCAACU